UACAGAGGUCCCAAGCGUUGUUCGGAUUCAUUGGGCGUAAAGGGUGCGUAGGCGGCGGGGCAAGUCUGAUGUGAAAUCCCGGGGCUCAACCCCCGGAACUGCAUUGGAUACUGCCUUGCUCGAGUACUGGAGAGGGAACUGGAAUUUACGGUGUAGCAGUGAAAUGCGUAGAGAUCGUAAGGAAGGCCAGUGGCGAAGGCGAGUUCCUGGACAGUUACUGACGCUGAGGCACGAAGGCCAGGGGAGCAAACGGG
rnacentral:rRNA from 1 species